rnacentral:rRNA from 1 species
AUUGAACGCUGGCGGAAUGCUUUACACAUGCAAGUCGAACAGCAGCACGGACUUCGGUCUGGUGGCGAGUGGCGAACGGGUGAGUAAUGUAUCGGAACGUGCCCAGUCGUGGGGGAUAACGUAGUGAAAAUUACGCUAAUACCGCAUACGAUCGAUGGAUGAAAGCGGGGGAUCGCAAGACCUCGCGUGAUUGGAGCGGCCGAUAUCAGAUUAGGUAGUUGGUGGGGUAAAGGCCCACCAAGCCAACGAUCUGUAGCUGGUCUGAGAGGACGACCAGCCACACUGGAACUGAGACACGGUCCAGACUCCUACGGGAGGCAGCAGUGGGGAAUUUUGGACAAUGGGCGAAAGCCUGAUCCAGCCAUUCCGCGUGCAGGAUGAAGGCCCUCGGGUUGUAAACUGCUUUUGUACAGAACGAAAAGGUUUCUACUAAUACUAGGAGCUCAUGACGGUACUGUAAGAAUAAGCACCGGCUAACUACGUGCCAGCAGCCGCCGUAA